UCUUCUUGAUGGGUGAUUUUUUCUUUCCUUGACCGGUUCAUUAAUCUUGGGCUUCCUCGAACGAGGGACUUUCAAGGUGUAAACCCCAAUAGCUUUGAUGGUCAUGGAAAUUAUAGCAUUGGCUUUCGUGAACAGAGUGUCUUCCCGGAGCUAAGUUAUGAUGCUCUUGGUAAGCCAAGAGGAAUGGAUGUUUGCAUAACAACAACAGCUGAGACAGAUAAAGAGGCACAUAGAUUACUGGCCCUCAUGGGUAUGCCAUUUAGAGAAGGUGCUGUUGGGCAGGCAAAUGUCAUGCGAAAGAAAAGGCUUAGAGCUCACCAUUUUGACUCAAAAGCAAAGCAAAGGUCUAGGAGAUGAGGUUGAUCCAAUUUCCAGGGUUAAUUGAGUUGAUUUGUUGCUCUUCCAGCAUGGUUUUCGGCUUUUUUAGCGUACAAUUGGGAUGGAAAAAUCUUUACUUGCACAUUUACUAUCAUGUUGGUGAUAUCUUGAAGAUACAUGAUUUAUGUUUUUCUCUUCAUAUUCCCAUAUCUUUUGUGUGAUUUCAGCCCUGCAGGUCACUGGUAAAUCACUACAAUCUCAUUGCUUCUAGUAAUUCUUUUUUGUUAUCAAUUUUGAAAUGUUAACGUAACUUUUGAAUAACUCAUUGAGUCAGGUUUUAACUAAUUUAACUCAAAAUUUUGCACUAUUUCAUUUUCUUACUCUUCCCAUGAUGGAUUGUACUUGAAUACUAGCUCCUACUAUUUAGAAGCAGGAGUAAGUAGGUCUUCGUCGUCCUGUUGCGGCUCAAAAGGUCAGUUUUACCCCUCUACUUAGUUUACAUUAUUUCCUAGCUGAACUUAAAUUGGGCCACUUUAGAGCCCUUUUAGGUAAAGAAAAAGUGGUGUUUGCCUUUUGCAAUUCCUCUGUCUUCUUUCAGUCUCUCCGGGUUCUCCGAUUUUUCUCUCCUUUCUUUGUUUCUGCUUAUGAAAUUAUUGAGUUAUGUUGUUUCUAUCGUGGUCCGAAGUUAGUGGCGAUGUAACGAGUACGGAGAUGUGCAUAUAUUGUUUUGGUUUUAAUUUGGUCAUUUAAAAGGCUUUUGCUAAUUUCUGUGAUUCAAGGAGAAAACUUGCAUAUAUUUAUAGCUCAAAGCAGUGUCUCAGCUUUGAAGGAUAGUGGAAAACAUGUCAGUAGUUGGCCUCUACUUUUUGAGAUGUACUGAAUUAUUUCAGCAUAUGAUAUGGAAACAUGUCAUUAUAUUUGGUAUCUAUAUUUUCAGAUUCAAUAAUUGUGAACUUCGGUUAUUGUUGAUAGAAGUAUGAUUGGAUUCGAUUCUUCAACAACUGAUUAUCCGGGGAAAAUUCCUAGAGGAGCAGACGUCCCAAGCGAUGAUGAUGAUACCGGUGAGGAGCAUCGCCUAAAUUAUUUGAAUUGCCGGGAAACCAAAAAUUUUAGUUUGGAAUGUUUCUUCCGAAGUAAGAUAGUGAAUGCUCAUGUGCUUAAAUUAGCGUUAUUAGGCUGACUAAGGGGUAUCAGUUUUCUGAGAAAUUUUAUUCAAGCAAGUGCUAGUGUCGUUCCUUCUAUGUCGUACAAGCAUUAUUAAGCAUUUAUUGUUGUAAUACUUUAUACAACACAUUAAUGACUGGAGACAGGAGGACUGGAAGGCUGCCUGCCUUCCAGGCGUUCAUGGUUUGAA